UACGGGGGGAGCAAGCGUUGUUCGGAUUUACUGGGCGUAAAGGGCGCGUAGGCGGCGCAACAAGUCACUUGUGAAAUCUCCGGGCUUAACCCGGAGCGGCCAAGUGAUACUGUCGUGCUAGAGUGCGGAAGGGGCUACUGGAAUUCUCGGUGUAGCGGUGAAAUGCGUAGAUAUCGAGAGGAACACCUGCGGCGAAGGCGGCAUCCUGGACCGACACUGACGCUGAGGAGCGAAAGCCAGGGGAGCAAACGGG
rnacentral:rRNA from 1 species